AACAUCGCGCACCUGCGGGAACCUGCGGAGGGAUCAUUAACGAAUUUCAAUUCGGUCUUCUGUGCUGGUGGCAACACAUGUGCACGUUGAUCGUAAUUCCAUCCUCCUUUCAAUUGUCCAAGUGUGUUCGGUCGGCCCUCUGGGUCGAAGAAGCGUAGCUGUCAGGCUCGUUUCGUUCCGGAUGCACAUUGGUUAUUUCACCCACUCUGGGUAUUUGAAACGAAGAAAAAUCUUAUAAAU
rnacentral:misc_RNA from 1 species